rnacentral:lncRNA from 1 species
CUAACCUGAUGGUGACUGUGACUUCAGAAUUGAGCCAGGCUCUGAGCACUUCUUACCACGCCCACCUCUGCCCCCAUCUGGUCCAGCACCCCCGCCUCUCACCUGGGUUGUGGCAGCAGGCUUCCUGCUUGGCCUAUGGCUUCAGCCUCACCUUCUCAUUAAAAAGGAAAUGAGGUCAAGUCCAGUGACCUCACGCUGGGUCGCACACAUCUUCUGGCUGCUUUGCAGCCCCUCUUACUAUCUCUGCUGUGUGCAAAACUCAGAAGCCAAAGGGGAUGAAGCUGCCAUCUGUGGGAUUAAGAUCAGAUGUCUUGAUUCGGAUCCUCCAAGCAUAAUGAUGUGUUGUUGCCAUAGCAAUUCUGCUCAAGAGCCCUUUGGACAGAAGACACACAUAUUUGUGAAGAACCCUGAGGUUCUCAGCAGCUUUCCUCAUAGGCACAUGGACAUUUCAUGGGACCCUGGAAAGAUCACACAGUGAGGAAGACAAUCAUUCUCAUCCGGCCUGUGCACCUGCUGCAGUACGGUCACCUGGUCUGGCUCCAUCGAAGCAGAAGGAAAGGAAGAUUUCACUCUGAGAGGGAACAUAAGAGUCCGGGUGUCGUGUGAGCUGAAGCGUGGGGACCACAGCUUGAUAUUAGUCUUUCCAUUAUUUUGAGUUUCUACAAGUGCUUCCUAUAAAAUUUAUCUGUUUUGAAGCCAGAGGGAUUAAUAGUUUCUCAAUGAUAAAAGGCUAUCUUGUGAAGACAACAAUGCGUAUAUUAUUUGAAGUUAUUAUAUGCCAUUUGAUAGUGGUUCUUUUUUGACUCCUGUAUAAACCUUUUGGAGGAGAGAUCUCAAAGAU